AGUGAACGCUGGCGGUGGGCCUAACACAUGCGAGUCGAACGGCAGCACAGUAAGAGUUUGCCUCUACGGGUGGCGAGGGGCGGACGGGUGAGGCAUACAUCGGCAUCUAAUUUUUCGUGGGGGAUAACGUAGGGACACUUACGCUAAUACCGCAUAUGACCAACGGGUGAAAGCAGAGGAUCUUCGCACCUUGGGCGACAGAAUGAGCCGAAGUCGGAUUAGCUAGUUGGCUAGGUAAAGGCCCACCAAGGCGACGAACCGUAGCUGGUCUGAGAGGAUGAUCCGCCCCACUGGAACUUGAACACGGUCCAGACUCCUACGGGAGGCAACAAUUAGGGAUUUUUGACAAUGGGCGCAAGCCUUGACCAGCCAUACCGCGUGGGUGAAUGAGGCCUUCGGGUUGUAAAGCCCUUUUUUUGGGAAAGAAAAGCAGCAGGUUAAUACCCCGCUGAUCUGACGGUACCCAAAGAAUAAGCACCGGGUAACUUCGUG
rnacentral:rRNA from 1 species